GGUUCGCCGCCCGUGACUCUGCGAGAAGUCCAUUGAACCUUAUCAUUUAGAGGAAGGAGAAGUCGUAACAAGGUUUCCGUAGGUGAACCUGCGGAAGGAUCAUUGUCGAGAUCGAAAUAUAUCGAGCGAUUUGGAGAACCGGUCAGAAUAAGCGGUGGCCAUUGCUUCCGUGAUGAAAGUCGUCCAAACUGUUACCUCAUCCCCUCGGGGGUUGGGAUGCGAUAAGGAUUGAUGAACACUCAAACCGGCGCAGCAUCGCGCCAAGGUAAAAAUUGAAACACAAUCCCUCUAACGGGUUUGGUGGCAUGGGGUGCUGUAGCACUUCAUAAGGAUGUACACGACUCUCGGCAAUGGAUAUCUCGGCUCUCGCAUCGAUGAAGAGCGCAGCGAAAUGCGAUACGUGGUGCGAAUUGCAGAAUCCCGCGAACCAUCGAGUCUUUGAACGCAAGUUGCGCCCGAGGCCAACCGGCUAAGGGCACGUCUGCCUGGGCGUCAAUCAUUAUGUCGCUCUGUGUCAUCUCCACCCCUCGAAGGAUGGGUUGCUGAUGGCUCGGAUGUGUAGAGUGGCUCGUCGUGCCCCUCGGUGCGGCGGGCUAAAGAGGGGGUCUUCCUCUCAUUGGCAACGAACAAUAAGGGGUGGAUUAAAGUGAGGCCUAAGCUAUUGUGUCGUGUGUGCCUGAGGGAUGAUUAUGCAGAUUCCAAAUUAUGCGUUGAUAUGUGGAUGUCGUUUAGAAUACGACCCCAGGAUGGGCGAGGCCACCCGCCGAGUUUAAGCAUAUCAAUAAGCGGAGGAGAAGAGACUUACGAGGGUUUAAGCAUAUCAAUAAGCGGAGGAGAAGAGACUUACGAGG
rnacentral:rRNA from 1 species